GUUUGAUCAUGGCUCAGAUUGAACGCUGGCGGCAGGCUUAACACAUGCAAGUCGAGCGGAGUGAUGGUGCUUGCACUAUCACUUAGCGGCGGACGGGUGAGUAAUGCUUAGGAAUCUGCCUAUUAGUGGGGGACAACAUUUCGAAAGGAAUGCUAAUACCGCAUACGUCCUAAGGGGGAAAGCAGGGGAUCUUCGGACCUUGCGCUAAUAGAUGAGCCUAAGUCAGAUUAGCUAGUUGGUGGGGUAAAGGCCUACCAAGGCGACGAUCUGUAGCGGGUCUGAGAGGAUGAUCCGCCACAC
rnacentral:rRNA from 1 species